GAUGAAGAACGCAGCGAAAUGCGAUACGUAAUGUGAAUUGCAGAAUACAGUGAAUCAUCGAAUCUUUGAACGCACAUUGCGCCCGCCAGCACUCUGGCGGGCAUGCCUGUUCGAGCGUCAUUUCAACCAUCAAGCCCCAGGCUUGCGUUGGAGCCCUGCGGCUGCCGCAGCCUCCUAAAAGCAGUGGCGGGCUCGCUAUCACACCGAGUGCAGUAGAUUACUCUUCGCUCAGGGCGUGCAGCGGGUUCCGGCCGUGAAACCCCCUACUUUUAAAGGUUGACCUCGGAUCAGGUAGGAAUACCCGCUGAACUUAAGCAUAUCAAUAAGCGGAGGA
rnacentral:misc_RNA from 1 species